rnacentral:lncRNA from 1 species
CAAGAUUGAAGUGUCGCCAAUAUCUCCACAAAGCAGCCAUCUCAAGUUUGCUGAGGUCAACCUUCUACAAGGGAGAUAUUAUGGAAAAAAACAAAGACAACAAUUAGGCUAAGAAUAGAUGGCUAACAUAAAUUAGCAAUACUGUAUUGCAAUAGACCAAAACAAACUAUGCAAAACUCAUUAUUUACCGUGGACCCACGAGGUGUGGAGACAGACCCCUUAGACUGUGAGUCACAAGAAAAAGACCUGCUCAUAGUCUUGUGAGAAGAACCGGUCGAUUUAUGCGUUCUAUGCCUCGAUCUGUGGGACUUGUG